GCUCUAUUUAAACUUCUGGACUCAACCUGGCUGCUAGACCGGAGCGUCCUCCAGCGCAGGCAAGACUUACUCGUUUACAGUCAUGUUAUCUUCGAGUACCUAGAGAGACAUUUUCACCCACACCCUAGAGCGGCGUUUUAAUCCUUACGUGUCUUUUAACGCUACUUGGCCCUUACCUGCGAGCAACUGACCUUUAAUAAUCCUCAUUUUUUUGUGCCCCGGAGGUGCCUUCCCGUCUUCGCGUCUGUUUCCCGGAAGUGGUUCUUCUCCCUCUCUACCCUUGCGCCCGCCUGGGCGGUCCAGCUGCCCCUAGGGGCCGACUCCAGCGGCUGUUUGGGGGCUGGGCAUCCCGCAGCUUUUCAAGGCGUGCCUUUGGUUUUUUUAAGAAGUGCUAUCUAAAGGAAAGACUGCAUUAUGGCUCUGGGGAACUUUCAUAUCCUCAGUUGACCUUAGGCUGUGUGACCUUGAGCAGGUAGCGUAACCUCUCUGAGUUUCCCGCGUGCCUUAUGUGCAGAUUGAGAUGCUAAAAUGAGAGAGCUAAAUUGGAAAGCUUUCCACAUAGGGGGCCGUGAGCAGGUGGCUGGUUUGUCUUCUGACACCAGUGGCUCAGACUUAACGCAGCUUCAACGACCGCCAAGAUGCCUGCCAUGCCCACCAAGAUUUAAAGGACUCCGGUAAUUCUUUCUCUCCCCAGUGUUUUCCCUAUCCAAUCCUAAUAACCAAGCCUGAAGGAAUCUCUGACUUGGUGAUUGAAGGCUCUCCAGGUCCCCUAGUUUAAGGGCAGAGAUUUACUUUUUCUCAGGCUACAAAGGAGCAUCUGGGAGAUGCGAGAAUGUGUCUACCUUAGACAAAACAGGGAGGAGGGGUGGAGCUCUCCAAAUUGCCUCUGGCUUGGGCUUUUUCUUUCUCUUUUGGUGUGUCGUCUCUGGCCAGCAACACCUGUGAGUCCUUGAUGUGACGAUUAGGGAAGAUGUUUUUAAUUCACAUAACUAUUCUUUAGAGAAAAUUGAUCCUGAAAACACCUUAUUGCCUGUUCGUAGAAUGACUGCAUUACUCAGAAUUCUUUACCUCCACCGGAAUUUAGUGAAGGGAAGGCACAACGUACGUUAGGAAAAUACAGGAUACUCUCCAGUCCUUAAACCUUCCACAAUCCUCUAACUCUUUAAGGUCGAGUGUGAUCCUCCCCAGAACUGCAUCUUCCAGGAAGCUCAUGAGAAAGGAAGGAUCCUAGGUGCCAUCCCUGAUCUCCUGAAUCGGCAUCUGCGUUUUAACAGAAUCCUGAAGCAGUAGUCUAACUCCUUUGGUGGUGUUAUGGUUUGAAUGUAUACCUCCAAAAUUCACAUAUUGAAAUACUGACCCCCAAGGUGAUAGUAUUAGGAGGCCUUUGGGAGGUAAUUAAGUCGUGAGGGUGGAGCCCUCAUGAAUGGGAUUAGUACUCUUAGAAAAGGGACCCCAGAGAGGUCUCUUUCCACCAAGUAAGGAUAAAAGUACAAGGAGAAGAUGGCAGUCUGCAAACUGGAAAAGGGCCCUCCUCAGAACCUGACCAUCUUGGCACCUUGAUCUCAGACUUCCAUCUUCCAGAACUGUGAGAAAUAAAUUUCUUUUAUAAACACUCAGUCAUUGCUACUUUAUUAUAGCCGCCUGAAUGGAUUAAGACAGGUGGUCUGGUUUAAAGUGAUGUAGUGGCAUCACAAGUUUAAAGAGAGACUGGAUUCACAGAACCAGAAUCUGGGAUGCUGUUUACAGAGCAAGUUAUUUCCUGCAUUUGGACACUGUCAGCAGGUCGAUUCAGGAGACAGAUGAAAACUUUAUCACCAGGCAGCCUGGAUGAACACCACAACUUUGAGAUCUUUCACUUAAAGGAAAGAUAAGGGCAUCCACUAUUUCUACACCUGGCUGGCAGAGUGAGAGCUCACCAAAGCACUUACAAAUUCAUAGACUAUUACCACUGAAGACAAGUUAAGAGAUUGUGUUCUCCAAACUCAUCAUUUUUCAGAGUCCUACCUCUUUUCAGCAAGUGCAGGACAAUAGAAAGAAAAACCAGAGGCCAGGUUGGGAGGAGAUAUGAAAAGAUUUUCCCGGAAAAUGAAGUAGAAGAUCCUAUGAAGGAACCGAAUAAUUUAUUUUUAAGAGAUCCCCAGGGGAUGCUGAUGCUACUCGUCUGGAAACCACAUUUUGAGAACCAUUCAUUAAUCUAGAGAAAUCUGUUUUACUCCCAUCACUGUGUAUCAACGUUGGUAGUUAUUGAAAGAAAAACUAAAUUCAAUCAAAUACAGAAAAUUAUUAUUGCCAUCGAAAGUGUAUUUUUUCAUUUAUUUUGUUGUCUGCAUUUCCUAAAACGUGCAAGGAAAAAAAAAUUAAGAGGAAGGUCAAAGGGAGAUGGGAACAUCAGAUAAAGAAUGCACCUGACUUCCAGUAAGCCAGUCCACUCAAUACCACCGUGGGCAUCGAACUUGAAGGGAACACGUAUUUUGACACCAGUAGCACAUUGGAGGCUCAAGAUGUGCAGAAAUCUCUAAAUUGUGAACUUUCCUUCUUGGGCAGAAGUGGAAGGAAUGUCUGUUUUCAUGACUGUGGUUUACUAAUAUCUCACAGCAAACAUGAGAAGUAAUGAAGUAACCGAGCGCUGCUUCAUUCAAGGGGAUUUAUCUGCCUCCAGAAACGAGCGGGAAAAUCCCAAUUGCUUUGGAAGUAUUUGAUGCUCUUUAGUAAAGAUAUAGCUUUAAGAUUCCUCUGGAAAUUAGCCAAAUUUAAAGAGAUUGAAAUGCCUCUGUUCUAUAUUAAAGAGCCUCUCGCUAUAGACACACUUCUUCAUGAAUGUGUUUACUUUCGAAGCGGAGUGAAUCCUCCACUGACAGAGAUGGAAAUGGUUCCUAAUUUGCUAACAGUUUAGAAACUGGAAAAUAACAGAGAAGGUACACAUCCGCCUGACACUGGGGACACAUUUAUCUUGUAUUCAUUAUUUUUCAUAAUUUUACAUGCCCCUGGCGGCCACUUGAGAUGAAAUUAUUAGAGAAUCAUUUUAACUGCCUCAUGAACUGAUUUGUUUUGUAUUUGUUUUUCUGUUGCUAUUUUCUAAUUUCUAAUUAUUUACUGCUAUUUAAGCAAUUUUAUUUGUACCUGAUUGAACAGCUGCGGUUGGAUUCAUCUACCUCAGAACUUUCUGUCUGAAUCUUUGAGAGAGCAGAUCUGCAGUCCUCUCACUGCUAUUUGAUGUCCACUUUGUAUGUAUUAAAGACAAGCUGGUUUCUUGUGUCCUUGGAUUGAUUGCACUAACAAUGAUAUUUGGUGAAUGGGCAUGUAUAUAUGUAUUUACAUGUGGGUGAUUUAUUACAAAUGGGAUGAUAGGGCAUUUUGGUCAGUUCAACUAGUACAAUUAGGGGAUAUUGAUAAAACUCUGUCAACCAAUUUUAAUCCUGAUAGAAAAGUAGUUAUUUGUCCCUUUUCUGAAAAAUCCAUAGAAAAAAAUAUUUUUUUCAUAGAUAUUUUCACAUGUUAAUUAAAUUUUUCCACUGGAACAUCCAUCUAAUUUCUUCCUGUUUACUUAAUUUCCACCCAUAUGUAAUCCUCAACUCUGAAUCUCAACUUCUCUAAAAAUGAUUUUUCUCUGAACUCAUGUGAAUCUCUCUCUCCACCCCCCAACUUUCUUCUCUUCUCUUUAUGUCCUUAUACAAGUUAGUCUUAAACACCAUUUUAAGUUAAUUUGUAAUCAUCCCAUGGGUUUGUCCUGCCCACUGCACAGACAAAAUCAAUUCACUGAGAUCGUGGUAUUGCAGUAAAGAAAGACUUUAAUUGACUGGAGGCUGGCCACGCAGGAGACGGAGUCAUUACUCAAAUCAGUCUCCCUGAAGGCUGGGAGGGUUUUUAAGGAAAAUUUGGUGGGCAAAGAGCUAGGGAGUGAGGAGUGCUGAUUAGUUGGGUUGGGGAUUAAAUCAUGGUGGGUGGAGGUGGAAGGGGGUUCUUCUGCGUGCCUUCUGUUCCUGGGUGGGGUUGCAGACCUAGGUGGGCCAGUUUACUGGUGUUGGUGGCGCCAGCUGGUUCAUCAGGAUACAGGGUCUGAAAAAUACCCUGAACACCAAUUAUAGGUUUUACGAUAGUGAUGUUAUCCCUAGGAGCAAUUGGGGAGGUUAGGAAUCUUGUGGCCUCUGGCUACAUGAUUCCUGAGCCAUAAUUUCUACUCUUGUGGCAAACUCUUUAGUUUUACUAAGGAGGUCUGAUCCUCAGUCAAGGAGGGGGUUUGUUUCAGGAAGGGGUUGUUAUCAUCUUUGUUCCAAAGUUAAAGUAUAAACUAAAUUCCUCCUAAAGUUAGAUUUCCCUAUGCCAAGGAAUGAAAAAGGGCAGGUUGGAGGUUAAAAGCAAGACAGAGUCAGUUAGGUCAGAUCUCUUUCACUGCCACAGUUUUCUUGUCAGAUUUUUCUCACUCUCAUAAUUUUUGUAAAGGUGAUUUCACUUUUACUACUUGCACCCAGCAAAAAUGUAAAUGUCUGGAGGAAAAAAAAUCUCCAUUUUACUUUUUUAUAAUCUGCCCCAAUUCUGCACAGAAGAAAAACCAGUGGUAUGUAGUGUAUUAUAUAUUAAUAGAAAAAAAGAAAGUUAAAAACAUUGUAACACAUACAUUGUAAAAAAGUUCAAAAAGGUACUCCUUUUAAAUAUGUACUAUUCUGAGAUUUUUGUCUCAAUAGAUUUUGGUCAUCCUCUUUCUUUCACUCUAUAUUUAGUUAUUCCUUCUGUUUUGCAGCUAAAAAUCAUACCAUUUUAUGAAUAUGUCCUAAUGUACUUAACCAUGGCAUUUAUGUUAUUACCAGUGUUCAGCUAUGACAACCAGUAAUGGAAAUAUCAGAAUACACUCAGGUGGGAAGUCCUGUAAAAUAGAUGUAAAGAGGUGGGAGAGUGCCUUCCAAGUGUUUAACACAUUUAAAUUUUGAUUGCUAAGUUUUAAAUCACCCAUUGUAGAAACAGAGAAUGUCCACUUGAAUACACAGUAAUUUCUAGAUCUACUCACACCAACGAUUUUAGAACUAUGUGUAUAUUAUGGAAUCCGGAAAUAUUAUUAUCUGAGAUUUUCUGUUAAAAAAAAAAUACAAUCACGCUACGUACAUGUGUGUGCAAGUCAACCCCACUCUACACCUCAGGGGUGGUGAAUUAGCAUUGAAAGUAUUUUUAUCAGGAAUUCCCAAUUCAGGGGUGAUUUCUAAUGGAAGCCCCCCACUGGGAAUCCACAGUCCAGAGGUGGCUACUUAGCCCUACAAAUACUGUUGUUUUAUAUUGUACCAGUUAAUUUGUCAAAUGGCUUCAGUGAUAUUGAAAACUAAUUGUGAAAUCAAUUAUGUUCGUUUAGAAAAUCUGUAUGGGUCCAAUUGCCCCUGAAUGCAUGCAUUGCUGUGGGUGGAGGAGGAGGAGGCAGGGUUGCAAGCGACUGUUUAAGCAAAGAAAUUAAUUCUCUUCUCCGUGCCUAAUUGCAGCCAAAUGGCCUAGCAUGUAUGGGGUCAUCUGUGCUAAUAAAGGUAAAGAUCUGAGAUAUGUUGCUGGAAUUCCAAAACACAAGGGUGUCCAACAUCGACCAUUUCUCAAGAUGCCUUUUGGAUUAGUUACAUAACCUCAAAAAAGAAAAAAAAAAAGCCAGAGAAUAAAAUAAACAAGCUGAUUGUGCCUAUACCAUUUGCCUUCUUAGAGAGCUUGGAUUUUUUUUUUCUUUCUAAGUCUAGCUCUGUUGCCCAGGCUGGAGUGCAGUGGCAGUGGCUGGAUGUCGGCUUACUGCAACCUCCGCCUCCCAGGUUCAAGCAAUUCUCCUGCCUCCACCUCCUGAGUAGCUGGGAUUACAGGUGCGCACCACUAUGCCCGGGUAAUUUUUUUUUUUUUUUUUUUUUGGAUUUUUAGUAGAGACAGGGUUUCACCAUGUUGGCCAGGCUGGUCUCGAACUGCUGACCUCAGGUGAUACACCCGCCUCAGCCUCCCAAAGUGUUGGGAUUACAGGCGUGAGCCACCGUGCCCAGCCAAAGUGCUCGGAUUUUAAAGGAACAACUCAUUUGUGGAUUAGAUAGGGAAGAGGCUACCAGCAUUAAGAGUGGGCAGACUAGUCAAAAUAGACAUUUCUCUGGAACAGCCUUCAGGGGAAUUCAUUUUUAUUCUUAAGGAAGUUAAAGUAAUCUCACGUUUAAAGAAUAGGGGACUGUAUUCUUUGUAAAGAAUCUUCUGAAUCAUAUAGUCAGCUACUAACCUGGCAGCUUGAGCUCAGUUUUCUC